CUCUGUGAUAAAUGAAAUUAGAGAAGUUCCGAUACCAUUUUUUGCUUCCUGAUACCGAUUCCGAUACCUGAACUUGAAUCGGCCGAUACCGAGAACUGAUCCGAAACCAGUGUGUCAUAUAUUUGAUUAUGUUUUAACAGCUGUGUACUACGAUCCCUGUAUGGAUGUGGUAUGAUUUCUAUCUUUGUUGUCGGUCUGGCUCAGGUUAAAGUCUUUGU